CGCUGGCGGAUGCCUUCACCUCCGGUUUUAAACUGUAGCACGGGGAUGCAUCCUCGCGUGGUUAAUGGACGACACAGGGUGAGUAAUGAUAUCGGAACGUGCCCCGAUCGUGCGGGGAUAACGCAGCGAAAGCUGUGCUAACUAUCCUGGCAUACAGAUCUACGAGAUGAAAGCGGGGUGAUCGCCAGACACUCGGGCGAUUUGGAGCGUGCCUGAUAUCAAGAAUUAUCUACGUUUGGUGCGGUGUAAAGAGCCCGCCCAAUGGCGACGGAAUCUGUAGCUUGGUCUUGAAGAAGCGACGACGCAGCCACGACGUGGAACUUGAGGACACUGUCCAACAACUCCUAACAGGGAAUGCAGCAGUGGGGAAUUUUGGACACAUGGGCGCAAGACCUGAUCCAGCAAUGCCCGCAGUGCAGUGAUUGAAAGUGCCUUACGCGGUUGUAAACUCGCUUUUGUACGGAACGAAACGGUGAGCUCUAACUAAAGUUUUGCUAAUGACGGUACCGUAAGAAUAAGCACCGGCUAACUACAGUGCCAGCAGCCGCGGUAAUACGUAGGGUGCGACCGUUAAUACGGAAUUACUGGGCGUAACAGCGUGCGCAGGCGGUUAUGUACAGACAGAUGUGAAAUCCCCGGGCUCAACCUGGGACCUGCAUAUGUGACUGCAUAGCUAGAGUACGGUAGAGGGGGACUGGAACUCCCGCCGUUGUACAAGUGAACUGCGUAGAUAUGCGGAGGAACACCCCGGAUUGGCGAAAAUGGCAAUCCCCCCUCGCAACCAUGGUUACUUGGAACAGCUUCAUUGCACGAAAAAGCGUUGGGGGAAGCCACAACCAGGGUUUUGAUUACCCCUGGUAUCCAAGCCUAAAAAGCAAUGUCACAUGGCUUGUUGGGUCUACACGGAACUCAGUAAC
rnacentral:rRNA from 1 species